rnacentral:rRNA from 1 species
GGUACUUUGACCGUGCUAAGGUAGCAUAAUAAGUUGGYUUUAMAWUGGGGUCGAGUAUGAAUGAVAGAACGUAGCUUAGCUGUCUCAAUAUCAUUUUGUUGAAUUUACUGUGUAGAUGRAAAAGUCUACGAAAUAUAAAGACGAGAAGACCCUUAGAAUUUAAAUGAUACUGAGAGHAHUUCUCACAAUAUUUUUGUUGGGGCGACACAGAAACAGGAAGAUAACUUUCUGAGAAUAACAUGACGAUUUUGUUAAGAUUGGGUAAAUUACCUGAGGGAUAACAGCAUAAUUAUAUAAAUUAGUUUGUGACCUCGAUGUUGGACUAGGAAAUUAGUAGAUUAGCCGUUUACUAUAUUGGUUCUGUUCGAAC